rnacentral:rRNA from 1 species
UACGGAGGGUGCGAGCGUUAAUCGGAAUUACUGGGCGUAAAGCGUGCGUAGGCGGCGCGUUAAGCCAGGUGUGAAAGCCCCGGGCUCAACCUGGGAACUGCACUUGGGACUGGCGCGCUGGAGUUUGGGAGAGGGGAGCGGAAUUCCGGGUGUAGCGGUGAAAUGCGUAGAUAUCCGGAGGAACACCAGUGGCGAAGGCGGCUCCCUGGCCCAAAACUGACGCUGAGGCACGAAAGCGUGGGUAGCAAACAGG